AUUGAACGCUGGCGGCAUGCCUAACACAUGCAAGUCGAACGAGACCUUCGGGUCUAGUGGUGCACGGGUGCGUAACGCGUGGGAACCUGCCUUUAGGUUCGGAAUAACUCAGAGAAAUUUGAGCUAAUACCGGAUAAUGUCUUCGGACCAAAGAUUUAUCGCCUUUAGAUGGGCCCGCGUUGGAUUAGCUAGUUGGUGGGGUAGAGGCCUACCAAGGCGACGAUCCAUAGCUGGUCUGAGAGGAUGAUCAGCCACACUGGAACUGAGACACGGUCCAGACUCCUACGGGAGGCAGCAGUGGGAAUAUUGGACAAUGGGCGCAAGCCUGAUCCAGCAAUGCCGCGUGAGUGAUGAAGGCCUUAGGGUUGUAAAGCUCUUUUACCCGGGAUGAUAAUGACAGUACCGGGAGAAUAAGCUCCGGCUAACUCGUGCCAGCAGCCGCGGUAAAGUGA
rnacentral:rRNA from 1 species